rnacentral:lncRNA from 1 species
AUGAAUGAUGUAAGGGAUAUUUGCUUUAAAUGUCAAAAAUUAUAUUUUGAGAGAAAUGAGAUGUAAAAAGAAAUGAUGCAAGAAUGUGGAAGAACUUGAUUAUAGUUGGAUGCAUGUAUGUGAUUUAAAUUUAGUCAUAUUACUUAUAUGUUGAAUUCUUAAUUCUUUCACUUUGGCUAUUGCUUGCCCUCGUGCAAGCCAUUGUGUAUGCUUCCGCUUAUACAAAUUUGUACUCUAUUGAUACUUGUGUUGAGCCUUGGGCUGACAGGAAAAGCUCUAUCCGUUCGGCGUCUGUUUCGCGCUCUCGAACCGGCCAAAGAGGAUCGGGCUCGGGGCGUGACAGUAUUAGCAUUAGUAUGGUUACCAUUUCUAUUUCUUUGAAAUACUUAUGCCUGAAUAGACCUAGUGGAUAAGUCUGCGAGGCCGGUUGCCGAACCCACUGGAAACUUCGUUGUAGUUCUCACACCACUAAACAUACAGGUCUGAGCGUGAGCGGGGCGGCGGAGGACCGAGGCAAGGGUAUUGCGCCAUAGCUAGUGGCCACCGGAGUUUAUGCAUUUAGUCAUUCCUUUUAUGUACAUGUAUCAACUUUUAUUUUGUUGAUCUAUAGUUGUAUAAGUUGAAACCGUAUCAUAUAUUUUGGUGAAAUGAUUAAGAUGUAAGAAACCUUGAAUGAAAGCAAAUGAAUGUAAUAGUUUAGUUUACUAAUAUUUGGUUUAAAUGUAAUCAAGUAUUAUGUAUGAUUGAAUGUUGUAGAUUCGAGCUUUCGCUUCCGUUGUUGUUUGCUCUCGUGCAAGGCUUGUAUAAUUGCAAAUUACUUUGGUUGAUUGCUUAAUUAUACUUGUGAUUAGAGC